rnacentral:rRNA from 1 species
GACGAACGCUGGCGGCGUGCUUAACACAUGCAAGUCGAACGAUGAACCCGGAGCUUGCUCCGGCGGAUUAGUGGCGAACGGGUGAGUAACACGUGGGUGAUCUGCCCUGCACUUCGGGAUAAGCCUGGGAAACUGGGUCUAAUACCGGAUAGGACCACUGCCUGCAUGGGUGGUGGUGGAAAGCUUUUGCGGUGUGGGAUGGGCCCGCGGCCUAUCAGCUUGUUGGUGGGGUGAUGGCCUACCAAGGCGACGACGGGUAGCCGGCCUGAGAGGGUGACCGGCCACACUGGGACUGAGAUACGGCCCAGACUCCUACGGGAGGCAGCAGUGGGGAAUAUUGCACAAUGGGCGCAAGCCUGAUGCAGCGACGCCGCGUGAGGGAUGACGGCCUUCGGGUUGUAAACCUCUUUCAGCACCGACGAAGCGCAAGUGACGGUAGGUGCAGAAGAAGGACCGGCCAACUACGUGCCAGCAGCCGCAGUAA